rnacentral:rRNA from 1 species
GACGAACGCUGGCGGCGUGCCUAAUACAUGCAAGUUGAGCGCUGAAGGUUGGUACUUGUACCAACUGGAUGAGCAGCGAACGGGUGAGUAACGCGUGGGGAAUCUGCCUUUGAGCGGGGGACAACAUUUGGAAACGAAUGCUAAUACCGCAUAAAAACUUUAAACACAAGUUUUAAGUUUGAAAGAUGCAAUUGCAUCACUCAAAGAUGAUCCCGCGUUGUAUUAGCUAGUUGGUGAGGUAAAGGCUCACCAAGGCGGUGAUACAUAGCCGACCUGAGGAGGUGAUCGGCCACAUUGGGACUGGGACAAGGCCCAAACUCCUACGGGAGGCAGCAGUAGGGAAUCUUCGGCAAUAGACGAAAGUCUGAACGAGCAACGCCGCGGGAGUGAAGAAGGUUUUCGGAUCGUAAAACUCUGUUGGUAGAGAAGAACGGUGGUGAGAGUGGAAAGCUCAUCAAGUGACGGUAACUACCCAGAAAGGGACGGCUAACUACGUG